ACGCUCGACACCUACGGGGCAGCAGUGGGGAAUAUUGCACAAUGGGGGAAACCCUGAUGCAGCAACGCCGCGUGAAGGAAGACGGUUUUCGGAUUGUAAACUUCUGUUCUUAGUGAAGAUAGUGACGGUAGCUAAGGAGCAAGCCACGGCUAACUACGUGGCAGCAGCCGCGGUAAUCUGAGCGGGCUGGCAAGGC
rnacentral:rRNA from 1 species